UUCCAGCUUAACAGAAUCAUUGUUGUGUCUCCUGGUGGCAGCAUUCUCCUUCUGGAACUAAGAACUCUAGGCCAGCAGAAUGUAAUGUCAUGGAAACAGGAAGCAAAAAUUUUGCUAGUAGAUCACUGGGGAUGAUGGUGAGUGGUGUCACUUCCACUUCCAUCCCUUUAAUCCUGGAGCCGUGAGUCCUGGCUAUGGGAGAAACAGUGCCAUAUAUGGGAUGCUGAUUCAGAGCAUACACAGUCUUCUGGAGAACUUUACCCCAGGUCUGCAAAGUAUUGUUACCUAGUUGGCAUUGUAAUUGUGACUUCAAAAGGCCGUUCCAUCAUUUUAUCAAUUCAGCUGCUUCAGGAUGACAGAUAACAUGGAAAGGACUCCAGCUUAUGAAAGAAAACGCAAAGAAAGAAGAGACCAUUCCACUGAUUUUGGGAACAAGACAAUAUAAUGAUCACAUCUAUGCUUUACAAAGAAAACUCUGCAUCUAUAUGAAGAAUAAAUGAUGGAGCUAGGCUGGAGAAGUACACUACUUGAAGUCAACAAGAAAGCAGCUGGUGAAAGAUGAUGAGACACUUAUUAGAGGAAGAAGCAGUGAGGAUGGAAGGGAGAGAAAUAUACACUAGAGGCACUGGAAAGUGCAUCACCCACCUUAUUGAGUCAUCAGAUAUGAUAUUCUGAAUUUCCUGGGUUAGGUAAAAAUUAAAAUGGAAAUUAUCAAUCCAGAGAUUUUGGAGAAGAUAAAAUAUUGCAGGAAGAAAAUAUUUUAAUUCAUGAUCUUGAGGAUCUCAAGGGAAAGAUGUGUCUGAUAUUAACAAA
rnacentral:lncRNA from 1 species